rnacentral:rRNA from 1 species
GACGAACGCUGGCGGCGUGCUUAACACAUGCAAGUCGAACGGAUUGGCGAACGGGUGAGUACCACGUGGGUGUUCUCCCUUGCACUUCGGGAUAAUCUUGGGAACCUGGUUCUAUUACCGGAUAGUCCAAGAUGAGCUCGCGGCCUAUCAGCUUGUUGGUGGGGUAAUGGCCUACCAAGGCGUCGACGGGUACCCGGCCUGAGAGGGUGUACGGCCACAUUGGGACUGAGAUACGGCCCAGACUCCUACGGGAGGCAGCAGUGGGGAAUAUUGCACAAUGGGCGGAAGCCUGAUGCAGCGACGCCGCGUGGGGGAUGAAGGCCUUCGGGUUGUAAACUCCUUUCGACAGGGACGCGGUACCUGUAUAAGAAGCACCGGCUAACUACGUGCCAGCCGCCGCGGUAAUUC